AAAUGAAUUGACGGGGGCCCGCACAAGCGGAGGAACAUGUGGUUUAAUUCGAUGAUACGCGAGGAACCUUACCUGGGCUCGAACGCUUCUGGAAUCACGCCGAAAGGCGUGAGCCGGCAACGGCCGGGAGCGAGGUGCUGCAUGGUUGUCGUCAGCUCGUGCCGUGAGGUGUCGGGUUAAGUCCCAUAACGAGCGCAACCCCUACCGCCAGUUGCCAGCGGGUGAAGCCGGGGACUCUGGCGGGACUGCCGGCGUAAGCCGAGAGGAAGGCGGGGAUGACGUCAAAUCAGCACGGCCCUUACGUCCAGGGCUACACACGUGUUACAAUGGCCGGUACAGAGGGAGGCGACCCCGCGAGGGGGAGCGGAUCCCGAAAGCCGGUCGUAGUUCGGAUCGGGGUCUGGAACCCGACCCCGUGAAGCCGGAUUCGCUAGUAAUCGCGCAUCAGCCAUGGCGCGGUGAAUACGUUCCCGGGCCUUGUACACACCGCCCGU
rnacentral:rRNA from 1 species